GAUGUCUAAUCCUUUCUUUGAAGAUGUUCAUACAAUGGAAGAUGGAAGUCAAAUGCGAUUAAAGAUUUGAAAAGAAAGAUGCUCUAAUCCAAUGAAAAUAAUGAGAAAUGAAUAAAAAUAACCUGCGGCUUCGUUUAUUUCACAGAAAAUAUUUUCUUGUUUAAGGGAAAACUAAGUCUUUUGUAAGAAAAAUGACUUCCUCUUUUCAGAAGAGAAAGUUAUUUUCCAUUUUCUACACCUUAAUAAUCUUAUUAAAAUGUGAAAACACUCAUACAUACAUGAAAUAAACACAUACC
rnacentral:misc_RNA from 1 species